rnacentral:tRNA from 1 species
GACCGCGUAGCUCAGUUGGCAGAGCAUUGGGCUAGUAUUCCAAAGGUCGUAGGUUCAAAUCCCACCGUGGCCA